CUUUCAGAACUUUGUGGCAUGACCAUCGCUCUAAAGAUGGGAUUGAUUAUGACAAGUAUGUGGCGCUCCUGACUAAGCUUCACGUCCUCAAAGGUCGUUUCCAGGCCCACCUGCUGAAUUUGCCAUGUGACUGUCAAGUCGCCAGUUUCUCUUUCAAACAGUUCAUGAAAUCAGCGAUAAUCUGAGGACGUAACAGGAGCUGAGCUGAAUGAAUGGUUUUAGAAAUGAAGCUGUAAAGUAGAAACAGUUUAUGAAAUUAUAGUUCACCUCUAUUAAACCUUCACUGUUAAAAAACAGAAACAUUAAAGGAACAUGAAACACAAAGUCUGAGCUUUCGUUUUUUCUUCCUGGGUGCAGCGGUAUUCUACUGCAUAACUGAGAGCGAGAGAAAAUAAGCACAAAGAAACCGAGGCAUUAAAUGGUUCAGUACAAUUCCGG
rnacentral:lncRNA from 1 species